UACGUAGGGUGCGAGCGUUGUCCGGAAUUAUUGGGCGUAAAGAGCGUGUAGGCGGCCCGGUAAGUCCGCUGUGAAAGUCCAGGGCUCAACCCUGGGAUGCCGGUGGAUACUGUCGGGCUCGAGUCCGGAAGAGGCGAGUGGAAUUCCUGGUGUAGCGGUGAAAUGCGCAGAUAUCAGGAGGAACACCAAUGGCGAAGGCAGCUCGCUGGGACGUGACUGACGCUGAGACGCGAAAGCGUGGGGAGCAAACAGG
rnacentral:rRNA from 1 species